CAAUACUGGGGAUUGCAAUUCGACAUGAGAUUUGGUGGCGCUACAGAUCCAAACUGCAUCAGUGUAUCUGACAGAUGAGGAAACAGAGGCUCAUGAAGUAAAUGGCAACACUGGGACUGAGUCCAUGUGUAUCUGCCUCCACUGUUUCUCACUUGCCAUGUUUCUAGUGUGUGGCUGCGCACCCGCCCACCACUUCCUUUCAACCUGGAAACCACACAAGAAGCUGACUUACCCGGUGGGAAGACCCAGGAGGGGCUAAGGAAGAUGUGUUAAUUCUGUUUGCACACAGCGAGGUAGUUGAGGAGGGCAAGAAGGCGGAGGCACUUUCCUUUUUCACCUGGCAGGAGAAGUCCCUGAUUCCUCGAGCCGCUGAUGCCUGCAUAGGCAGAGCAGCGGCUUCGGUGGCCACCUCCGUCCUGCUCUGGGAGCUCACAGGAGAGUACCACGUUACACAGUCCCAUGCAUUUUUAAUGACUUGGACUUGAAAAGUGGUUUCAGAAGUUUCUCUGAAAAACUUGUUCAGGGAGGAGGAAAGGAUGAUCCUGAUUCAUUGGACCUGUCAGAUCUGAAUCCUCAGCCGGAGAAGGAACGGAUUCCCCUCCUCUCCUCCAGCAGCUUGCAAUGGUCAGUAUGAACUGUCAGUCAUGGGGAUGCCGAGCUGUGUGCUCAGUCUCCUUCAGGGCUGGUUGGUUUCCUCUGCGUUUGUGGUGUUAAACCUGCUGAAAUGUACUAGCUGAAGUGUGCUGCCUUUAACUCCCGUGCUCACGGUGAAAUGUCUCUCUAGGACUUGCCAAGGCAACGCAAGCUAAUAUUCACUUCAAAUGGCAACAAGCCCUGAGUAUUAGUUGCCAUUUACAUUUUUAUCCUUCUAGAAGAGGUUUCUUCACUCACCACCACCCUCACUCACACACCCAUGACGUCAUCAUGUUUCUUGCCUGCGACUCCCUCCUUGCUUUAGCAGAUUCCCGAGUAGACUUGAAGCGAAAGCGUCACGUGGCAGGCAGUCCACAAGAAUCUGCUGGGAUGCCACUAUUUGCUGGGAGUGUCGUGUCUUGACGUACAUCAUUUUGUGAGCUCAUCCCCGUCACCAGAGGAGGCUGGAAAACCAACAAGGCUAUGAAGCAUUUUGAAGUUGACUGCAUUUUGCAAUGAAGUACACCAAUGAGCUAUUCUCUAUACAAGGGGCGGUUUUGAAGUGUGAAUGGAAGCAAGCCUGGGUCAGGAGCUCUGAGAACACUGCUGCCCUGGAAUCAUCACAGCAAUGACGAAAGAGCAGAACCUUCAUAAGGAAGACAUCCACGAUGUGCCUCUGAUGUGCCAGGCCUUGUGCACGAUCCCGGAAUGCAGUAUGAGCCAUGACAAAGUCCUCUGCGCCCCAUGACAAAGUCCUCUGCACCCCAGGACAGUCCUUAAUUCUUGCAGACAGACAUGCAGGUAGACACAUCUGAGGUGGUAAAGUAAGAGUAGCAUUUCCCACAGAGGGCGAGGAGCUUUGUGGGCUGGUUCAGGGCACAGUUUCCAGGACUGGCUGGCUGAGAAGGUGGGUCUCCCUCAGUAAGGGAUUCAGGGAAGGAGGCCAGUUGUGGCUCUGAGCCAGAAAUGGAGUGUGUGUUUUCUCAGAAUCAGAUGUCAGCCCUGGCAAAACUCCCCCAGCGGCAACCAAAAUCGCUUCCCUGGAGGCGUGUCUUUUCUGCUUUUCUCUGUUUCAGGUAAGAAAGACUCAGAAAACAGAGAAGGCAGAGCCAGUCAUGGCAGAGCCUCAGCAGAGCCUGGUCUCCAGGGUCAGUCACUGAUGACAUUCGCUGAGCCACAGCCCAUGCCCAGAAGCGUUCCAGUGUUCACAUAAACCACAGCCUCCUCCAGAAGUAAGCACUGACAGGGAAUAUAUCAGAGCACCAUUCUGACAAACAGAUUCUUAGAAAAACAUGCUGUGACUGAGGCAGAGUCAUUGCAAGAAGGGCAUUGCAGGAGUAACUUUUACUGCCUCUGUCCUGCUCCCUCCCAAGAAGAUCACCCCACGUGGCUGCGAAUGUCUUUGCAACUUCCUACAUAAUUCUAGUAAUUCUAGUAUCAGUCCUUAAUAGACAGUGUGGGUCAUUGGAAACCUUCAAAUCCCCAUUAAUUUGGGUACUCUACUAAACAUAAUUACUGUUCAUGUGGCUUAGGGAUUUUUCCAGGGAGAAAAUUCAAUAAUGGAUAUGGUUUGGCUGUGUCCCCACCCAAAUCUCAUCUUGAAUUGUAGCUCCCAUAAUUCCCACCUGCCAGGGAGGACUUGGUGGGAGGUAAUUGAAUUAUGAGGUUGGGUCUUUCUCGUGCUGUUCUUGUGAUAUUGAAUAAAUCUCAUGAGAUCUGAUGGUUUUAUAAAUGGGAGUUCCCCUGCACAAGCUCUUUUGCCUACUGCCAUGUACAAUGUGACUUUGCUCCUCCUUUGCUUUCUGCCAUGAUUGUGAGGCCUCCCCAGCCAUGUGGAGCUGUAAGCCCAUUAAAUAUCUUUCCUUUAUAAAUUAUCCAGUCUCGGGUAUGUUUUUA